rnacentral:rRNA from 1 species
AUUGAACGCUGGCGGCAUGCCUUACACAUGCAAGUCGAACGGCAGCACGGGAGCAAUCCUGGUGGCGAGUGGCGAACGGGUGAGUAAUAUAUCGGAACGUGCCCAGUCGUGGGGAUAACGUAGCGAAAGCUACGCUAAUACCGCAUACGAUCUAUGGAUGAAAGCGGGGGAUCGCAAGACCUCGCGCGAUUGGAGCGGCCGAUAUCAGAUUAGGUAGUUGGUGAGGUAAAGGCUCGCCAAGCCGACGAUCUGUAGCUGGUCUGAGAGGACGACCAGCCACACUGGGACUGAGACACGGCCCAGACUCCUACGGGAGGCAGCAGUGGGGAAUUUUGGACAAUGGGCGCAAGCCUGAUCCAGCAAUGCCGCGUGCAGGAUGAAGGCCUUCGGUU